rnacentral:rRNA from 1 species
UACGGAGGGGGCUAGUGUUGUUCGGAAUUACUGGGCGUAAAGGGCGCGCAGGCGGCUUGGCAAGUCGAGUGUGAAAUCCCUUGGCUUAACUAAGGAAUGGCGCUCGAAACUACCUCGCUAGAGGACGGGAGAGGGGAGUGGAACUCUCGGUGUAGGGGUGAAAUCUGUAGAUAUCGAGAGGAACACCGGUGGCGAAGGCGGCUCCUGGCCCGUAGCUGACGCUGAGGCGCGAAAGCGUGGGGAGCAAACAGG